AAAAACUAUUUUAAAAAUCAACUUGCAGCAAAUCAUUUCAUAUUGCGGGAAAGUUAUAAAAUAAGUCUUAAGAAUGAUUGGCAUAACCAAUGGCGGGAACAGGCCUGGUGAAGGUGAUUGGC